GACGAACGCUGGCGGCGAGCUUAACACAUGCAAGUCGAACGGAAAGGCCCUGCUUUUGUGGGGUGCUCGAGUGGCGAACGGGUGAGUAACACGUGAGUAACCUGCCCUUGACUUUGGGAUAACUUCAGGAAACUGGGGCUAAUACCGGAUAGGAGCUCCUGCUGCAUGGUGGGGGUUGGAAAGUUUCGGCGGUUGGGGAUGGACUCGCGGCUUAUCAGCUUGUUGGUGGGGUAGUGGCUUACCAAGGCUUUGACGGGUAGCCGGCCUGAGAGGGUGACCGGCCACAUUGGGACUGAGAUACGGCCCAGACUCCUACGGGAGGCAGCAGUGGGGAAUAUUGCACAAUGGGCGGAAGCCUGAUGCAGCAACGCCGCGUGCGGGAUGACGGCCUUCGGGUUGUAAACCGCUUUCGCCUGUGACGAAGCGUGAGUGACGGUAAUGGGUAAAGAAGCACCGGCUAACUACGUGCCAGCAGCCGCGGUGAUACGUAGGGUGCGAGCGUUGUCCGGAUUUAUUGGGCGUAAAGGGCUCGUAGGUGGUUGAUCGCGUCGGAAGUGUAAUCUUGGGGCUUAACCCUGAGCGUGCUUUCGAUACGGGUUGACUUGAGGAAGGUAGGGGAGAAUGGAAUUCCUGGUGGAGCGGUGGAAUGCGCAGAUAUCAGGAGGAACACCAGUGGCGAAGGCGGUUCUCUGGGCCUUUCCUGACGCUGAGGAGCGAAAGCGUGGGGAGCGAACAGGCUUAGAUACCCUGGUAGUCCACGCUGUAAACGGUGGGUACUAGGUGUGGGGUCCAUUCCACGGGUUCCGUGCCGUAGCUAACGCUUUAAGUACCCCGCCUGGGGAGUACGGCCGCAAGGCUAAAACUCAAAGGAAUUGACGGGGCCCCGCACAAGCGGCGGAGCAUGCGGAUUAAUUCGAUGCAACGCGUAGAACCUUACCUGGGUUUGACAUGGAUCGGGAGUGCUCAGAGAUGGGUGUGCCUCUUUUGGGGUCGGUUCACAGGUGGUGCAUGGCUGUCGUCAGCUCGUGUCGUGAGAUGUUGGGUUAAGUCCCGCAACGAGCGCAACCCUUGUUCACUGUUGCCAGCACGUUAUGGUGGGGACUCAGUGGAGACCGCCGGGGUCAACUCGGAGGAAGGUGGGGAUGACGUCGAGUCAUCAUGCCCCUUAUGUCCAGGGCCUCACGCAUGCUACAAUGGCUGGUACAGAGAGUGGCGAGCCUGUGAGGGUGAGCGAAUCUCGGAAAGCCGGUCUCAGUUCGGAUUGGGGUCUGCAACUCGACCUCAUGAAGUCGGAGUCGCUAGUAAUCGCAGAUCAGCAACGCUGCGGUGAAUACGUUCCCGGGGCU
rnacentral:rRNA from 1 species